rnacentral:lncRNA from 1 species
CACACAGCUUCUUCAGGAAAUGCUGACAGCAUGGUAUACACAUGGCUUCCAUGUUUGUCAUGGUUCCAAAGUUUGCUUUUGAAAGAGUUUAAUUUCUUUCUUUCUUUCUUUCUUUCUUUCCUUUAUUGGCUAAACUCCCCCCACAGGACCUGAGUGAGCAGAAGGCUUUUCAGAAUUACAGCCUGAACUAUUUCUUGAGCAAUUUGGGAACUCAUUUCUAAAGCAGUCCUCAGAUUCACACAACGUAGUUUGUGACGGAGUAUGCCCAGAGCAGUGUUAUCACCAGUGCUUUCAGUAACUGCAUACUUAUAAAACAGCCAAACUUCAACCUGUGUUCAGUUUUUAUCUGUUUCUUGGGAAUGUAAUUUGGACAAAAAAGUUACCAAUGUAUUUACAACCAAAUUUCAGAUCUUCAACAUUACAGAGGCUGUCUUGUUGAUGGGGGUGCACCCUGACGAAUGGUGUGCUGGCAAAGAUUUAACAAAAGGCUCCAGAGGAGGGCAGACUUGAAGUGGAGCCUUCAGUGGGCAGUGUGAAGGGUGCUGAUUUCAAACAACUCAUCUGGUAUGACUGAACAUGAAGUUGGGAAGAGAUGUGCAUAAUUGAAGUGGGUGAGAGCCAGUCCAGCACCCUGCAGAGAGUGUGGAAGAUGAUCAAAGUAUGACAUUUCUUCUACCCCAGAGGCUGGCAUUUCUGCAGGCACAAAUGAGCUUGGUUUUCAAGCACUGCUCUUUGAACACAAGGAAUUCCUUUAAUGAUCACGCCGGACUAUAUAGACUUUGGAAUCA